rnacentral:rRNA from 1 species
CCUACGGGUGGCAGCAGUGAGGAAUAUUGGUCAAUGGACGAGAGUCUGAACCAGCCAAGUAGCGUGAAGGAUGACUGCCCUAUGGGUUGUAAACUUCUUUUAUAUGGGAAUAAAAUGUUCCACGUGUGGGAUUUUGUAUGUACCAUAUGAAUAAGGAUCGGCUAACUCCGUGCCAGCAGCCGCGGUAAUACGGAGGAUCCGAGCGUUAUCCGGAUUUAUUGGGUUUAAAGGGAGCGUAGGUGGAUUGUUAAGUCAGUUGUGAAAGUUUGCGGCUCAACCGUAAAAUUGCAGUUGAAACUGGCAGUCUUGAGUACAGUAGAGGUAGGCGGAAUGCGUGGUGUAGCGGUGAAAUGCUUAGAUAUCACGAAGAACUCCGAUUGCGAAGGCAGUUCACUAGACUACAACUGACACUGAGGCACGAAAGUGUGGGUAUCAAACAGGAUUAGAUACCCUGGUAGUC